UACGUAGGGGCCUAGCGUUGUCCGGCAUUAUUGGGCGUAAAGCGCGUGUAGGCGGCCUUGCAAGUCGGGUGUGAAAGCCCUCAGCUCAACUGAGGAAGCGCGCCCGAAACUGCAGAGCUUGAGUACCGGAGAGGAUGGCGGAAUUCCCCAAGUAGAGGUGAAAUUCGUAGAUAUGGGGAGGAACACCGGUGGCGAAGGCGGCCAUCUGGACGGAUACUGACGCUGAGACGCGAAAGCGUGGGGAGCAAACAGG
rnacentral:rRNA from 1 species